GGAGAGAUGGCUCAGUGGUUAAGAGCACGUACUGCUUGCUCUUCCUGAGGAUCUGAGUUCAAUUCCCAGCCUCUACA
rnacentral:tRNA from 1 species